rnacentral:rRNA from 1 species
AAUUUAAGCAUAUAAAUAAGCAGAGGAAAAGAAACUAACUAGGAUUGGUCCAGUAACGGCGAGUGAAGGACCAAUAGUCCACUUGAGAAUCAUCAUUCGUGAUGAAUUGUGGUAUGCAGGUCAUAUUGUUUGCCCAGCUGAUUGAGUCCCCUGGAAGGGGGCAGCACAGAGGGUGAGACUCCCGUUUGUCUGCUGGCAAGAAAUUUGACUGGUGAGUCGAGUUGUUUGGGAUUGCAGCUCUAAGUGGGUGGUAAAUUCCAUCUAAGGCUAAAUACGAGUGAGAGACCAAUAGCACACAAGUACCGUGAGGGAAAGAUGCAAAGCCGCGCGAGAGCGCUGUCAAAGAGUACCUGAAAUUGCUGAAAUGGAAGCAAAGGAAACUAGUGAAGACCAUCCUGCAUUUCCUCUCUUGCUUGCAAUUGGGGUGCUGCAGAUGGUUGUGUUCCGGCCAAUGUAUUUGCAGUGGAAGAUUCUGACACUGUAAGCCACUGGUUGGGUCAAAAUAGUUUUCUUUUUCCCGUCUUGAAACACG